GACGAACGCUGGCGGCGUGCUUAACACAUGCAAGUCGAACGGAAAGGCCCUGCUUUUGUGGGGUGCUCGAGUGGCGAACGGGUGAGUAACACGUGAGUAACCUGCCCUUGACUUUGGGAUAACUUCAGGAAACUGGGGCUAAUACCGGAUAUGAGCUCCUGCUGCAUGGUGUGGGUUGGAAAGUUUCGGCGGUUGGGGAUGGACUCGCGGCUUAUCAGCUUGUUGGUGGGGUAGUGGCUUACCAAGGCUUUGACGGGUAGCCGGCCUGAGAGGGUGACCGGCCACAUUGGGACUGAGAUACGGCCCAGACUCCUACGGUAGGCAGCAGUGGGGAAUAUUGCACAAUGGGCGGAAGCCUGAGGCAGCAACGCCGCGUGCGGGAUGACGUGCUUCGGGUUGUAAACCUCUUUCGCCUGUGACGAAGCGUGAGUGACGGUAAUGGGUAAAGAAGCACCGGCUAACUACGUG
rnacentral:rRNA from 1 species